rnacentral:rRNA from 1 species
UACGUAGGGUGCGAGCGUUAAUCGGAAUUACUGGGCGUAAAGCGUGCGCAGGCGGUUCGUUAAGUCCGAUGUGAAAGCCCUGAGCUUAACUUGGGAAUGGCAUUGGAAACUGGCGGGCUGGAGUGUGGCAGAGGGGGGUGGAAUUCCACGUGUAGCAGUGAAAUGCGUAGAGAUGUGGAGGAACACCGAUGGCGAAGGCAGCCCCCUGGGCCAACACUGACGCUCAGGCACGAAAGCGUGGGGAGCAAACAGG